rnacentral:rRNA from 1 species
GAAUUUUCCACAAUGGGCGAAAGUCUGACGCAGCAACGCCGCGUGGGUGAUGAAGGUCUUCGGAUCGUAAAACCCUUUUGAGGGAGACGAGCAAGGACGGUAUCUCUCGAAUAAGUCUCAGCUAACUACGUGCCAGCAGCCGCGGUAAGACGUAGGAGGCGAGCGCUAUCCGGAUUCACUGGGUGUAAAGCGCGUGCAGGUGGUCUCGUAAGUUGGACGUAAAAUCUCCUGGCUCAACUGGGAGGGGCCGUUCAAUACUGCGGGGCUAGAGGGCAGGAGAGGGAGGUGGAAUUCCCGGUGUAGUGGUGAAAUGCGUAGAUAUCGGGAGGAACACCAGUGGCGAAAGCGGCCUCCUGGCCUGCUCCUGACACUAAGACGCGAAAGCUAGGGGAGCGAACGGG